UAUGAGAUACUCUGCCUCUAACUCUACCAAACCCUAAAUCUCACACACUCUCUGACUCUCUCUCCUUUCUCCCAAACGGCACCAACCUGCACUCCCAUAUCUUUUCCGGCAACCGCAAGUACACUCUAGCAAUCCACCUCAUCCUCUCCGCUGACCGCAAGCACACUCCAGCAUAUUGUAAAUUAUUGUGAAUUUGAAGGAUCAUUUUCACGCUCCACUAUUACCGAAGAUUGUGAGGAUGAUAAUGACAUACAAGGGAUGGAUAUCAUUGACAUGGAUGUUGAUGAUGUUAGUAGUGAUGAAGAUUAGCCCUCUUGGUAGCUAGUCCAAAGACUUCUUGGGAGAUGGAUUUGGAUACUCAUCUUUCUUAUAUCGUUGUACUAGUUUGUAUUAUUAUUCAUAAGACAUGUAUUAAUGUAUUGUUAAGAUUUUUAUAAGUUGUCUUGUAUUAUUGGAGUAGUUGUAGAACUUGGAUUCAAAUAUUAAACGAAACAAUUGAGGGAGGUUUGAAAAUUGACAGUUAAA